rnacentral:rRNA from 2 species
CAUUUGAGUGAGUGGCGAACUGGUGAGUAACACGUGGGAAACCUGCCCAGAAGCGGGGGAUAACACCUGGAAACAGAUGCUAAUACCGCAUAACAACUUGGACCGCAUGGUCCGAGUUUGAAAGAUGGCUUCGGCUAUCACUUUUGGAUGGUCCCGCGGCGUAUUAGCUAGAUGGUGGGGUAACGGCUCACCAUGGCAAUGAUACGUAGCCGACCUGAGAGGGUAAUCGGCCACAUUGGGACUGAGACACGGCCCAAACUCCUACGGGAGGCAGCAGUAGGGAAUCUUCCACAAUGGACGAAAGUCUGAUGGAGCAACGCCGCGUGAGUGAAGAAGGGUUUCGGCUCGUAAAACUCUGUUGUUAAAGAAGAACAUAUCUGAGAGUAACUGUUCAGGUAUUGACGGUAUUUAACCAGAAAGCCACGGCUAACUACGUGCCAGCAGCCGCGGUAAUACGUAGGUGGCAAGCGUUGUCCGGAUUUAUUGGGCGUAAAGCGAGCGCAGGCGGUUUUUUAAGUCUGAUGUGAAAGCCUUCGGCUCAACCGAAGAAGUGCAUCGGAAACUGGGAAACUUGAGUGCAGAAGAGGACAGUGGAACUCCAUGUGUAGCGGUGAAAUGCGUAGAUAUAUGGAAGAACACCAGUGGCGAAGGCGGCUGUCUGGUCUGUAACUGACGCUGAGGCUCGAAAGUAUGGGUAGCAAACAGGAUUAGAUACCCUGGUAGUCCAUACCGUAAACGAUGAAUGCUAAGUGUUGGAGGGUUUCCGCCCUUCAGUGCUGCAGCUAACGCAUUAAGCAUUCCGCCUGGGGAGUACGGCCGCAAGGCUGAAACUCAAAGGAAUUGACGGGGGCCCGCACAAGCGGUGGAGCAUGUGGUUUAAUUCGAAGCUACGCGAAGAACCUUACCAGGUCUUGACAUACUAUGCAAAUCUAAGAGAUUAGACGUUCCCUUCGGGGACAUGGAUACAGGUGGUGCAUGGUUGUCGUCAGCUCGUGUCGUGAGAUGUUGGGUUAAGUCCCGCAACGAGCGCAACCCUUAUUAUCAGUUGCCAGCAUUAAGUUGGGCACUCUGGUGAGACUGCCGGUGACAAACCGGAGGAAGGUGGGGAUGACGUCAAAUCAUCAUGCCCCUUAUGACCUGGGCUACACACGUGCUACAAUGGAUGGUACAACGAGUUGCGAACUCGCGAGAGUAAGCUAAUCUCUUAAAGCCAUUCUCAGUUCGGAUUGUAGGCUGCAACUCGCCUACAUGAAGUCGGAAUCGCUAGUAAUCGCGGAUCAGCAUGCCGCGGUGAAUACGUUCCCGGGCCUUGUACACACCGCCCGUCACACCAUGAGAGUU